rnacentral:rRNA from 1 species
UACGUAGGCAGCGAGCGUUGUUCGGAGUUACUGGGCGUAAAGGGUGUGUAGGCGGUUUGGUAAGUCUGGUGUGAAAUCUCCCGGCUCAACUGGGAGGGUGCGCCGGAAACUGCCGGACUAGAGUGCGGGAGAGGAGAGUGGAAUUCCUGGUGUAGCGGUGAAAUGCGUAGAUAUCAGGAGGAACACCAAUAGCGAAGGCAGCUCGCUGGGACGGUACUGACGCUAAGGCGCGAAAGCGUGGGGAGCGAACAGG